CCUACGGGCGGCUGCAGUGGGGAAUAUUGCACAAUGGGCGCAAGCCUGAUGCAGCCAUGCCGCGUGUGUGAAGAAGGCCUUCGGGUUGUAAAGCACUUUCAGCGGGGAGGAAGGCGUUAAGGUUAAUAACCUUGUCGAUUGACGUUACCCGCAGAAGAAGCACCGGCUAACUCCGUGCCAGUAGCCGCGGUAAUACGGAGGGUGCAAGCGUUAAUCGGAAUUACUGGGCGUAAAGCGCACGCAGGCGGUCUGUCAAGUCGGAUGUGAAAUCCCCGGGCUCAACCUGGGAACUGCAUUCGAAACUGGCAGGCUAGGGUCUUGUAGAGGGGGGUAGAAUUCCAGGUGUAGCGGUGAAAUGCGUAGAGAUCUGGAGGAAUACCGGUGGCGAAGGCGGCCCCCUGGACAAAGACUGACGCUCAGGUGCGAAAGCGUGGGGAGCAAACAGGAUUAGAUACCCGUGUAGUC
rnacentral:rRNA from 1 species